UCCAGUUUAUCCUGCUGGAGAGUGCUGCUAUCAGGAUUCGACUAAGCCAUGCAAGCUUCUGUAGCAAUACAGAGCGAACUGCUGAGUAACACAUAGCUAACUUGCCCUUAAGCUCAGAAUAACCUCGGGAAACUGAGGAUAAUACUGAAUAGAUAAUAGUUUCUGAGAUGAAUUAUUAUUAAAACGCAAGGUUUAAGGAUAGGGCUAUGGCCUACCAGGUAGUUGGCAGGGUAAUUGCCUACCAAGCCUAUGACGGGUAGGGGCGCUGAGAGGCGAAGCCCCCAGAAGGAAUCUGAGACACUAUUCCUAGCCUUACGGGGUGCAGCAGGCGCGAAACUUCUACAAUGCACGCAAGUGUGAUAGAGGAAUCUUGAGUGCUUAUGUUAACACAUAAGCUUUUGCGUACUUUAAAAAGGUACGCGAAUAAGGGCUGGGCAAGACUGGUGCCAGCAGCCGCGGUAAUCCCAGCGGCCCAAGUGGGGCUCAGUUUUAUUGGGUCUAAAAUAUCCGUAGCUGGUUUUGUAAGUUUCUUGUCAAAUUGUUGGGCUCAACCUAACAGCUGCAAGAAAUACUAUAAGACUAGGGACUGGGAGACGUAGUGAGUACAGAAAGGGUAAUGGUAAAAUAUGUUAAUCCUUUCUGGACUAACAAUGGCGAAGGCACACUACGAGAACAGCUCCGACAGUGAGGGAUGAAGGCCAGGGGCGCAAAACGGAUUAGAUACCCGUGUAGUCCUGGCAGUAAACGCUGCAUACUAAACAUUGUGAUCUCUUCGAGAGAUUGCAGUGCUGAAGCGAAGGCGAAAGUAUGUUACCUGGGGAGUAUAGUCGCAAGAUCGAAACUUAAAGGAAUUGGCGGGGAGACACUACAACAGGUGAUCGCGUGCGGUUUAAUCAGAUUUUACCCCGUGAACCUUACCAGGAUCGACUGCAGAAUGAAGGUCAGUCUAAAGGGCUUACCUGACACGCAGAGAGGAAGUGCAUGGCCGUCGUCAGCCUGUGUCGUGAGAUGAUCUGUUAAAUCAGUUAACAGGCGAGACCCGUGUGCAUUGUUGCUAACCUGUAAGGAAGCACACUGUGCAGACUGCUCCUGCAAAGGAGAGGAAGGUGCGGGCAACGAUAGGUAGUAUGCUCCGAAUACCCUGGGCUACACGCGCGCGUCAAUGGCAAGAACAAUGAGAUGCAAUACCGAAAGGUAAAGCUAAUCCCCUAAAUCUUGUCUUAGUACCGAUUGAAGUUUGCAACUUAACUUCAUGACGCUGGAAUCUGUAGUAAUCGGACAUUAGCAGUGUCCGGUGAAUAACGUCCCUGUCUCUUGCACACACCGCCCGUCAAACCGACCGAGUUAUCUUUUGAUGAAAUUCUUGUUUCUAGGAUUUAUCUUAUGAAAUUAAGAAGUGAAUCUUGGGAUAG
rnacentral:rRNA from 1 species